GUCUUGGUAGGCGGUGCCGUGACAAGCCCAACCGGACGGCUGGAGAGGGCGAGAAGGGCAGACGGGACAUGCAGCCUCUUCCGCCUGAGCCCCGGAAGGGUGAUGUGGCUGCGGCAUCGCCGGCCUCGCUAUGAUUGUUGGGUAUAUUUUGGAAGUGUGCCAGAAUUGGUGAACGGAAGAGUCCUUAUGUUGCAGUAUGCUGUAUAGUAAUGGCCUUCAGCAUCCUCUUCAUACAGUAGCUGGGGAAAAUGCCAGAAUGUAGUUGCCAUCAGAUUUGAUUGUGAACAAGGACUGACUGCAGAAAAUAAUGGAAAGGAUGUUUAACUCUUUUAUCUCCGAACAUUGAAUGAGAUAAAUUUCCAGAUGCUGUUCUCUAUUUUAAUGUUAUUGGACCAAUGUUCUGUAUAAACAAUUAAGAUGUAACCAUUUAAUAGUCUGUAACAAUCAACCUCAGUACUGUCACUACAAUAUUACAUUCUGCAAAUGUUAUUCUGUUGUAUCAGAUACAAAAUUUUAGUGAGGUAUCUCUAAGGCACAUAGUAGAAAACAAAAUUGGUUAAUUACUCAAGUUCCUUUCACUGUGAUUUGGAAAUGAUUUAAUCUUUAUAGAAUGAGAACCUUUUUUGGACUAGCUUUUUUAUUAAAAUGGCUCAAUUUGUGUUGAUAAGGAUUGCAUUAAUAUUUAAUAGUGCUUGCUUUUCCUCUGGGCACACCAUUUUGAUCAUUAACCAGAGUACCUCUACUCUUAGCAAACUCUAGUUUAUGACAAGUAUUUAAAAUAUUUAAAACAAGCUUAUGCAGUUCUUAAGGACGAAGGUAAAUGAGAUGUAACUUAAAAAUAGUAUUGGGAAAAUGUUGAUAGUUAACAUUAGUGGAUUUAGACUAGCCAAAUGACAUAGUAGGCUCUGAAACAUCUUGUCAAGUAUAUGUAUUUUGUGCAUGAAUUUUUGCUGGAAAGCUGUCUUUCUCUGAAAAACACAACGUUCUUAGAAUGAAAAGAACAAUUAUAAAAUAAUUAUCCUAUAUGUGUUUUUCAUUCUUUUUAGUGUCAUGGCUUCAAAAAUGAAACAUUUAUUUUAAUUGCCGUAAAGGAACUGUAUUUUUGUUUUGUUUUUUAACACAGCACUUUAAAUCCAGUUUGUGUUUUGUCAACUUGAACUGGAAUCUCUUUUGUUACUUUGGAGGUGAUAAAUAGUUUUCAAAUCUGCUGAUUUGUAUACUGUGGCACAAGUAUCUUUGAACUUUGAUAGUGAAAGGAGACCUUCAACAAUUUUUAGUCUAGGCGAGAGGAAUAUUAGGAAUGUGACUUCUAAAUUUUACAAUAGAGCAGUUAUUUUAAGGUCAUGGUUAACAUUUCUUAAGGUUCAACUAAAAUUCAGUUAAAAUUUCAGAGCUACGAGGAACUUAAAUCUUAGCUAAAAAUUACCUGUUGUAGAUAGUAUUAAUUAGAUUGUUUGCAGCUAUUAAUUCAUCAUAAAGAUAAAAUGAAGAAACUCUCCCUUUUUUUAAACAAAAAAAAUUAUUUCUAGAUUAAUAGGCUAGUAGUUAUUUCUGCAGAAACAACGUAUGGAACUGAAAGCCACCUAUUUUUAUUUUAGACUAAUUUAAACCACUUGGAAUGGAUUCUAGGAAACAUCUUAAGCUUGUGUGUUGCCUGUGGUGGUUUUUUGUUUGGGGGUGUUUUUUGGUUUUGGUUUGAUUUUCUGUAUUUUGUUAUCUGGGGAUUUUUUGUUUGUUUGUUUUGGUUUGGUUUUGGUUUUAUAUUUUUGGCAUGUCUAUGGCAGUUAAAAGUGGUAUAUUUUGCUUUAGAUAGGGAAUCAGGUUAUAAUCAUUGUUCUUCCUCUAAACUGCCUCUUGGGCUUUACAUCAGGUCAAGGAUUUUUAGGGUUUCUCAAAAAUAGGAUUCUUGUCAGUGUAUGCAUGCUGAGUAAGUCACCUUUCUGGCUCUAAUUUCUGGGUGGCCAUCUGUUGUCCAGCUCUGCUGCCAACUGGACUUUCCGAAAGCCAUGUCAACUAAUUUUUUAUAUGCUAAGACAAAUCGAAUAUGAAAAGAGGAAGAAUAUUCUAGAUAUUCUAAGACAUUUCUUAAUUUGGCAUCUCAGAGGAGGUAGGUGGAAAGUAAAGGAAGAGAUAAUUUUGGGGGAAAAUUUGUGGAAACAUACAAAACGUUUUGCUUUGUAUAGAUGCUAAACAGAGUGGGAGGCAGCAUAUUUGUAACAACAACCAUUCUGACCUUUUGAAACACAAGCUUUUGGAGAAGUCAGGGAGAGACACAGUAUGAAUAAAAGCAAUUAACAUUUUCUUUAAUGUAUAUUUUUCAAAGAGGACCACGGAAUCCUGUUCUCUAACCCAAGGGGCAGUGUAGGUGGUUUUAAGCCCACAGAAUAUUGAGAUAUUUCUCUUGUGGUUUUGGUGGGGUGGUGGGAUGCAGAAGGUUAUUAAAGAUCAAUUUAAGCAUCAGAUAGACUAUCCCUUUUAUUUUUUUAACUUUUAGGUUCAGGGGUACAUGUGCAGGUUGUUAUAUAGGUAAACUCAUGUCAAGUGGUUUUGUUGUACAGAUUAUUUUGUCACCCAGGUGCUAAGCCUAGUACCCAGUAGUUAUUUUCCCUGCUCUUCUCCCUCCUCCCACCCUCCACCCUCAAGUAGGCCCCAGUGUCUGUUGUUCCUUUCUUUGUGUCCUUGAGUUCUCAUCAUUUAGCUCCUACUUCUAAAUGAGAACAUGUAUUUGGUUUUCUGUUCUGUGUUAGUUUGCUAAGGAUAAUGGCCUCCAGCUCAGAUGGAAUAUCUCUAUCAUAUAGACCUGUUGUUACAGGGCAGGAUCGGAUGAUGGACACUGAAGUCCUCAGCUUGCUAAGUUCAGUUGCUCUCCCUAGCCUCCUUUUGGCUUCAGAGUCUUUUGAUUCCAUCUAUCCUGGUAUUUUUUGUGUGCUGAUGUUUAGUUCUGGAUUGGCUUCAGCUGUGCUAAUAGGAAGGGCGUUGUCUUUUCAAGCAAUCUUAAAAGGUGGUCAAUCAAAAGGCCAGAGUCUGAAUCCCUUCUGUGGCUUAAAUAAUUUGAGGAUCAAGUCCAGUGUCUUGUUAAUCCCUGUUCUACUGUGCCAGACACUAUCUUGAAUGCUUUUAUAUGUUCAGGUUCAAAAUCGCUCUUUCAUACCAGGGGAUGAUAGUAACGUGUAACUUGCAAUAGAUUCCUUCAUCUUAGUAAUAAGAUGAUCAGUCUAGUUAGGACAAAAUAGAGAUUGAAUAAAUUAACUUUUCCAAGUUUACAGAGUAAAAAUGAGCAGAUCUCUGCCUGGUUUUGUGAAAAAGAGUUAGCACUGGUAAAUAGAAUAUUUCUACUCCUACACCAUUCUUUCAGUAUAUCAUCACUGAAGACAGGAAGAUAGGCACACAGAUUCUUCCUCGUAGUAAUUCAUAGUGCACUAGGUGAAAGAGAUGAAGUAUGUAUUAAAAGUACAAUGUGAUGGCAUUUAUUAUUCAGAUAAUCCCAGGAUUCUAGAAGAAAAUAAAGAAGAGUGACAGUUCAGUUAGGGUGUGAACUUCCAGAGGAGCACUGCUUAAGCUGAACUUGAGAGCAUUGUGCAAAAGCACAGUAGUCUGUUAAGAACUAGAAAUAACCUAGCUUGUGCCACUUCGGGAGUAUUAAGACAUAAGCCUAGAAAGGUAGGCAAAGGUUAGAUCUUAGACUGUCUUGUAUUUUUCUCAUUCCUGUUGAUUACCUACCUCAAAAUUGAAUAUGUUUUUCCUCCUGCCUAACACAAAACUACUCAAGGGCAGAAAUUUAAAUUCUUCCUUGGUGUAUGUGCAAAGAAGGUUGAAUAUAUUCAUGCCUACCUUAUUUUGGACUAGGAAUACAGUAGUAUACUUUCCGAAGACUUGCCUGAAUAGUAUAUAAGGUGGAGGCAACUGACUAGUUAGGUCAGUAUUUUUAGAAACUCUUAAUAGCUCAUACUCUUGAUACCAAAAGCAGCCCUGAUUGUUAAAGCACACACCUGCACAAGAAGCAGUGAUGGUUGCAUUUACAUUUCCUGGGUGCACAAAAAAAAAUUCUCAAAAAGCAAGGACUUACGCUUUUUGCAAAGCCUUUGAGAAGUUACUGGAUCAUAGGAAGCUUAUAACAAGAAUGGAAGAUUCUUAAAUAACUCACUUUCUUUGGUAUCCAGUAACAGUAGAUGUUCAAAAUAUGUAGCUGAUUAAUACCAGCAUUGUGAACGCUGUACAACCUUGUGGUUAUUACUAAGCAAGUUACUACUAGCUUCUGAAAAGUAGCUUCAUAAUUAAUGUUAUUUAUACACUGCCUUCCAUGACUUUUACUUUGCCCUAAGCUAAUCUCCAAAAUCUGAAAUGCUACUCCAAUAUCAGAAAAAAAGGGGGAGGUGGAAUUAUAUUUCCUGUGAUUUUAAGAGUACAGAGAAUCAUGCACAUCUCUGAUUAGUUCAUAUAUGUCUAGUGUGUAAUAAAAGUCAAGAUGAACUCUC
rnacentral:lncRNA from 1 species